GCAUUUGGGACAAUGGGGGCAACCCUGAUCCAGCCAUCCCGCGUGUGCGAUGAAGGCCUUCGGGUUGUAAAGCACUUUUGGCAGGGCAGAAAAGGCUCUGGCUAAUACCUGGAGCUGCUGACGGUACCUGCAGAAUACGCACCGGCUAACCACGUGCCAGCAUCCGCGGUAAUACGUAGGGUGCCAGCGUUAAUCGGAAUUACUGGGCGUAAAGCGUGCGCAGGCGGUUCGGCAAGAAGGAUGUGAAAUCCCAGGGCUUAACCGUGGAACUGCAUUCUUAACUGCCGGGCUAGAGUAUGUCAGAGGGGGGUAGAAUUCCGCGUGUAGCAGUGAAAUGCGUAGAGAUGCGGAGGAAUACCGAUGGCGAAGGCAGCCCCCUGGGAUAAUACUGACGCUCAUGCACGAAAGCGUGGGGAGCAAAC
rnacentral:rRNA from 1 species